rnacentral:rRNA from 1 species
UGGGGAAUUUUGGACAAUGGGCGCAAGCCUGAUCCAGCCAUGCCGCGCGCAGGAUGAAGGCCUUCGGGUUGUAAACUGCUUUUGUACGGAACGAAAAGACUCUGGUUAAUACUUGGGGCCCAUGACGGUACCGUAAGAAUAAGCACCGGCUAACAACGUGCCAGCAGCCGCGGUAAUACGUAGGGUGCGAGCGUUAAUCGGAAUUACUGGGCGUAAAGCGUGCGCAGGCGGUUAUGUAAGACAGAUGUGAAAUCCCCGGGCUCAACCUGGGAACUGCAUUUGUGACUGCAUGGCUAGAGUACGGCAGAGGGGAAUGGAAUUCCGAGUGUAGCAGUGAAAGGCGUAGAUAUGGGGAGGAACACGGAUGGCGAAGGCGAUCCCCUGAGCCUGUACUGACGCUCAGGCACGAAAGCGUGGGGAGCAAACA